rnacentral:ncRNA from 1 species
UCUUAUCAAGAGCAGGUGGAGGGAUAUGGCCCGAUGAAACCCAGCAACCGACCGUAAUACCAUUGUAAGAUGGGGCGCCCGCAUUCUAUGGGGAGCCGCUGAUUAAGUCAGCGUAUGGCACGGUGCUAAUUCCGGCAAAACAUUUUGUUUUGCUAAGAUAAGA